rnacentral:rRNA from 1 species
UACAGAGGUCUCAAGCGUUGUUCGGAAUUACUGGGCGUAAAGGGUGCGUAGGCCGCACGGGCAGUCAAAUGUGAAAUUCUGGGGCUCAACCUCAGAAUUGCGCUUGAUACUUCCGUGCUCGAACCUUGGAGAGGAGUCUGGAAUUCUCGGUGUAGCAGUGAAAUGCGUGGAUAUCGAGAAGAACACUAAGGGCGAAGGCAAGACUCUGGACAAGUGUUGACGCUGAUGCACGAAGGCUAGGGUAGCGAACGGG